UUUUUUGUGCAAUUUUUCGUCGUUCCUAUUAACACAGAAUUUUUUGUGCAUCAAUCUGUUCUAUUUUCUCUCUUUAAAAUAAUAAUUACAAGUAUUUUUAUUCCUUAUUGCAUAAAAUAGAUUUUUUUUUAGAAUUUCUCUCUUCUUUUUUUUUACCUACUCAAACAAAAUAGAAAACACCAAAAAGCCACAAAAAUUGAUAUCCCAAAUGCAACACAUAAACUAUCUAAUGCCCCUUCUCUCCUCAACUUCUUCUCUUUUCUUUCCCUUCUCAUUUCCAAAAACUCUUUAUACCUCUUCCUCCCUAUUUCACCUCUAUUAGCUCCAUUUCCCCUUUUACCCUCCAAUACAUUUUGUAAAAUUACCAAACUCUCCCUCCCAUUCAAAUGAGUUCCAUCCAUAUCCUCCACUCCCAAACACACUUCCCUCACCUGCAUUUCUCCUACCUCAGAUCCACCGCACGUGACAACUAUCUCACACUGCACGUGACCUCUCUUUUGAUCAACGGUUAGGAUUGAAGUAAAACGUACCUGCACUUCGCCGGUUAACCAGUGCCGUUGUACGGAAACGGACUUGAAGGAGGAGAGGUUUAUCGAUCGCCGGCCGAUCGGAUCAAUCAAAAUCCAACUCAACGUCAUGUGAUCAAUCAGAUCCGUACACGUGCCGUCGUCGCUCGGGUGUUUGAUAGUCGUUGAAAUCACCUCCUUUGGAUCUAUCAUGUCGAUUCUGAACGGCGAGGAUUGAAACCAACUCGACGUCGUUUCAGUCUCUUGUACGUUACUGAAAAUCGCUUUGUUUUUGUAGUGUAUAUCGACGGCCGAUAUUAAUUCCGGCGGUGAAGAUGAACGGCUUGCAAUUGAAUUUGUCUGUUGAACAAUCCACUGUUUCCGAUUCCGAUCAAACAAACACACAGAGAAAAAGUUUGAUAGGAUUAUAUAUAUAGUAGAUCUUAGCGAUGUCAAACUCACUGACUCUACAUCGUGAAUUUGCUUAUUCUCGGAGGAAGGGAGAGAGAAGGACUGAGAGAAGAAGGUACGGUGACCGGCGUCGGGGAAGGUGGAGAUGACGUGGCUGAUACGAGGAGUGGCGGUAGACGGCCAAGUGGAGUGGCAUACACGUGACCAUAAGUGGUUUUCUGAGGAGAGGUGGUGGAGAGUGGAGGAGGAACAGCUGGUGGAAGCUAGAGUUGGUCCGUCGAGUCGAGUGAGUAUAUGAGCUUCGAUGAUAUAUGGAUGCAAAUCGGCAAAACCAGUUGCGCUGCCGUCUUCCUCCGUGACGGUGGUGGUGAUAGUGGUGGUGAUUGGUGGACUAUGGAGUGAGGAAGUCAUUUGAGAAGUGUGAA
rnacentral:misc_RNA from 1 species